ensembl:snRNA U2 U2 spliceosomal RNA
AUUAUUUUUUCUAAAAAAAAAAUCUGUUCUUAUCAGUUUAAUAUCUGAUACGUCCCCUAUCUGGGGACCAUAUAUUAAAUUGAUUUUUGGAAUAGGGAGAUGGAAUAGGGGCUUGCUCCGUCCACUCCACGCAUCGACCUGGUAUUGCAGUACCUCCAGGAACGGUGCACCCCCU